rnacentral:rRNA from 1 species
UACAGAGGGUGCAAGCGUUAAUCGGAAUUACUGGGCGUAAAGGGCGCGUAGGUGGUUGCGUAAGUGAGUUGUGAAAUCCCCGGGCUCAACCUGGGAAUUGCAUCUGUGACUGUAUAGCUAGAGUACGGUAGAGGGGGAUGGAAUUCCGCGUGUAGCAGUGAAAUGCGUAGAUAUGCGGAGGAACACCGAUGGCGAAGGCAAUCCCCUGGACCUGUACUGACGCUCAUGCACGAAAGCGUGGGGAGCAAACAGG